rnacentral:rRNA from 1 species
GAAUAUUGGGCAAUGGACGGAAGUCUGACCCAGCCAUGCCGCGUGCAGGAAGACGGCCUUCUGGGUUGUAAACUGCUUUUAUAUAGGAAGAAAACACCCAUGCGUGGGAAACUGACGGUACUAUAUGAAUAAGCACCGGCUAACUCCGUGCCAGCAGCCGCGGUAAUACGGAGGGUGCAAGCGUUGUCCGGAUUUAUUGGGUUUAAAGGGUGCGUAGGCGGCCCGUUAAGUCCGUGGUGAAAGCCUCCAGCUCAACUGGAGAACUGCCAUGGAUACUGGCGGGCUUGAGUACAGACGAGGUUGGCGGAAUUGAAGAUGUAGCGGUGAAAUGCAUAGAUAUCUUCAAGAACACCGAUUGCGUAGGCAGCUAACUAGGCUGUAACUGACGCUGAGGCACGAAAGCGUGGGGAGCGAACAGG